rnacentral:rRNA from 1 species
GAAAACUGAGGUGGUUCCGGAUGGGCAUGCGUGAUAUUAGCUGGAUGGAGAGGUAACGGCUCACCAUGGCUACGAUAUCUAGGGGAACUGAGAGGUUAAUCCCCCACACUGGUACUGAGACACGGACCAGACUCCUACGGGAGGCAGCAGUGAGGAAUAUUGGUCAAUGGGAGGAAUCCUGAACCAGCCAUGCCGCGUGCAGGACGACGGCUCUACGAGUUGUAAACUGCUUUUGUACCGGGGUAAAAUGCCUUACGAGUAGGGUUUUGAAAGUACGGUACGAAUAAGGAUCGGCUAACUCCGUGCCAGCAGCCGCGGUAAUACGGAGGAUCCGAGCGUUAUCCGGAUUCAUUGGGUUUAAAGGGUGCGUAGGUUGUUUUAUAAGUUAGCGGUGAAAUACCGAUGCUCAACAUCGGGGCUGCCGCUAAUACUGUAGGACUAGAGAUCGGAUGCAGCAGGCGGAAUGCGUAGUGUAGCGGUGAAAUGCAUAGAUAUUACACAGAACACCGAUUGCGAAGGCAGCUUGCUAGGCCGGAUCUGACACUGAUGCACGAAAGCGUGGGGAUCGAACAGGAUUAGAUACCCUGGUAGUCCACGCAGUAAACGAUGAUAACUAGUUGUCGGCGAUACACAGUCG